UACGUAGGGUGCAAGCGUUGUCCGGAAUUAUUGGGCGUAAAGAGCUCGUAGGUGGCCUGUCGCGUCGGCUGUGAAAACUCGGGGCUCAACUCCGAGCUUGCAGCCGAUACGGGCAGGCUAGAGUUCGGUAGGGGAGACUGGAAUUCCUGGUGUAGCGGUGAAAAUGCGCAGAUAUCAGGAGGAACACCGAUGGCGAAGGCAGGUCUCUGGGCCGAUACUGACGCUGAGGAGCGAAAGCGUGGGGGAGCGAACAGG
rnacentral:rRNA from 1 species